GUCUAGGGCCAUGCCAGCCUGAACAAGCCUGAUCCCGUAUGAUCUCGGAAGCUAAGCAGGGUUGGGCCCGGUUAGUACAUGGAUGGGAGACCACCUAGUAAGAUCAGGUGCUGUAGGCG
rnacentral:rRNA from 1 species